GCAAGGUAUUUGUAGAUCGGUCCGUCGGCAAGUCGCCUGCAAUGUCGAACAAACACCCUGACUGCAAUGCAUGACAGCAAAAGCCCUCCCGAUCAACACCACCUCAUAAGAUGAGGAAAUAUAUUGUUUAUGAGGAUUGCCUGCUGCAGUUGUUCGAGAUAUGUUCAGCCGAACAUGCAACAGAGAAGACCAGCAAGGGGACCGAUGAGGGGCCAGGGGCUGAUCUAUACUGCCAUACUUAUCAAUGGGGUGCUGGCAAAGACCUUACCUCCAGCCUCACCUCUUUCUCACUCACCAAUGGUCGUCGAUUAGAAACAUGUAUGGAGUCAGCACAUGGAGACUUGCAAGAUGAUGUGAAGUCCAGUCUGACAGAUGGGCUUGAUACUGAUGUCUUUAAAUGGAGAGAGACCUGUCACUUAGCAUAAAAAAAUGUACUAAACUUUUACUUGUAUUGUAUCAGUCAUUAUGGGGAGGGAGUAACCCUGUGUAUUCUGCAAAAGGAUCUAGGAACUCCUUUUGCAUACAGGACAUCACAUAGGAAGGUAUGACCACUGACAUGUUUGCCAAGGUAGCCUCAUUUCCAUCAGACAAAAUUAUGAAUAGGCACAGUAUCUGUAUC